AGCAACCACAAGGAUUAGGAACAGCAAAAAGCAAGACAUCUGUGUGGGGAGGAUCACAGGCUAGGGGUCGCAGAAAAUUGUGGGGGCUGGAUUUGUCAGGAACGCCAAAGAUGCUAUCGGACCUGCUGAGUUUCUCCAGUAAUUCUCUGCGUCUGUAACCUUUAGACCAAGCCAAAUAAGGAGAUAUUAGGACUGUUGAAGAAAAGUAAAGGGACCAUUUUCCUACCCAACCAUAGGGCUGCUCUCUCAUUAGAGAGACAACUGGUGGAAGUUUCACUUGAGGGUCAGGGGAAGGAAAAGGUUGAGAAGGAGAGUCCUUAAUGGUAACCUCAGCCAGUGCAGGAAUUGAACCCACAUUGUUGGCAUCAAUCUGCAUGACAAACCAGUCAUCCAAUCAACUGAGCUAACUGAUCCCCAAAGGACAAUAUCAUAUCUCCUUCAGUCUUUUCUGCAGUAAAUGUAUAUUCAGUCUUACUUCACAAUGCAGUACCCUAAAGAUUGAAAUUACCUUUAUUCCUCUUUUGUGAACAUUUCCACAUAGCCAAUAACCAUUUUGCUCCCUUACAGGCAUUGCAAAUGAUAUUUUCUAAUUUACUGUAGAUGUCCCAAUAAGCGUUUAUACCCACAUUAAAAUCCAUCUGCCA